AAUCAGUCUUAUGAAUUACUGCACGGGAGAUUGAAAGUACUAUUGUUUUCUUCCCUUAGGUUAAAGAAUGGAUAUAUAUAGCUGAUAAACUAGGACAACUUUAUCUCCUCCCACUUCCAGCGUGGCAGGUAGAGGAUGUAACUCAGGAGGAAAAGGCAUUCAGCUUCUGGGGAGUCACUUCCUAGUCAGCUCACUGGCAUUCAUCAUCACAGUAUGUUAAUAGCUAAGGCAUUUGAGCGAAGGCUCUGAUUGAUAUCCAAUUGGGAUUGAGUGCACCCUCAGCAAGUUUGCAGGCCAAGCUGAGUGGUACUGCUGGCAACCUAGAAGGAAGGAAUGCCAUCCAGAGGGACUUGGGCAGGCUUGAGAGGUGAGCCCAAACCAACUUCAUGAAGUUCAGCAAGGCCAUGCACAAGGUCCUGCACCUGCGUCAGGACAAUCUCAAGCGCAGAUACAGGUUGGGCAGUGAAUGGCCUGAGAGCAGCCCUGAGGAGAAGGGCUUGGGACUACUAACUGAUGAAAGUUUAAACAAGAGCCAGCAAUGUGCACUUGUAGCCCAGAGGGCCAACUAUACCCAGGACUGUGUCAUGAGAAGCAUGUCCAGAAAGUCAAGGGAGGGAUUCUGCCCCUCUGCUCUCGUGAGACCUUUCUAUAUUUCUCAAAGGCGCACCUGGACUGCAAGUGACCUCUGGAGGAGAUUCCUUGCCUUAGUAGCAAAGCCAUCUCAGGGUCGUUGAUCUUCAUGGCCCAGUCAUCAUGCAGAAAAGGAGAAGGAUGGAAUACAGGAGAUACUGUUAUAAUCCCAGGUUACAUAGUAAUGACCAGAUGCAAAGAAGAGACUGUCCUGCAUGAAACAGAACAUUUUUGGAUGUGAUCCAUCCAUUAAUUUAGUAAUUUAGGUAAAAACUGACAUUGGACCAAGCUUUCAAAACUGUUUGUUCAUUGAAUUUGUGCAGGUGAUCUGAGUGAAUGUACGAGUCCUAUGUGUACUACAUGCCUACUUACCAUGGUGCUUCAGAUAUCGUUUUUACGUAUGAGAUGGAUAUUUUGUGGAAGGCUCUGCACUGGAUCCUGACUUUGCUUGUCACACCAUUGAAGCAUGCAUAGCCCCACUUUUAUGGUGGGAAAUGGCUCCUUACUGCUUAAUAGGCAAUCCAUGAAGACAGCUGCAGUUUCUACACGUCCCUUUCCCAGAAUAGCAGCAGGCUGUUAGCCUGUUGUACAAGCGGAUCCAUGUAAGUGUUAAUCCAAGUGUGUGCUUUUGUAUUAUGAAAGCUAUGUAGCUGCUAGUUAAUGAGGAUAUGUCUAAUCAAUUUUAUAAUUAAUCACUGUAUGCAUAUUCAAUACAUAAUCUGUCAAUGUGCAUGUUGUCAAUUGAGUGUAUCUUAUCCAUUUGAAACUCUGGUUUUAUUGUCUCAAGGGCAAAAAGCAAAAAAAUGUUUUCUUUUUGAUCUGAAGCACCAAGCUUAAACAAGGCUGCUAUUCCAAUACUGUGGUGGGUACUAACAUUAAACAUAAAUGUUUCAAGAGAGACAAUGAAAUCAUCGUUGACUUGAUUUUAAUAUCAUAUUUGCAUGGAUCGAAAGCAAGUAAACUUGAAGAAUAAAAUAGACUUUGAAAUAGAAAAGGUCAAUGAAAAGAAAGUAUGCAGAGGCUAUUUUCUAGAGAGAGGAAAGGAAAAAAGUAGAAAGGGAUAUUUUGUAGCCUCAUUUUACUGAGUUAGAAGCUGUUAGCUUCACUAAUUUGCCAUAUUACGCCUUGGACAGCCCUGGGGUAAAACACUGUUCAAAAAGCUUUUUCAGAAUGUUAGUGUCAUACCUUGUUCUGUUCAGCUGGGACAAGUGUACUUCAAAAGUCAUAUAAGUGACCUGGAAGGACAGUAGAAAGUUUGUCUUAGAUUUAGUCCUCUUUCAGAUGAGACAAUGUGUACCCACAGAUACUGAAACUGAAAUGCUCCAUUCCGCUCUUUUGUAGACAUUUCACAACAAACUGGAGGAGGUGAAUGGGAAUGCCCCUUUAACAAAUUAUUCUUAGGAUAACACUAAAUUUAAAACAGUUCAAGAAAUGGCAGUGCUAUUCAAAUACCUUGAUCAUUUGGAAAGAAUUACUAGUUACUUUGGAGCCCAGGGUUGUUGGUGACUGGCAUAGAAAUGGCUGAUGUCCCAGCUGGGAAGUAACCAAGCCAUAAUUUGCUGGACUACAUUUUAUCCCCUUU